GAAAGCCUAACAUUGCAGCUCUUGGUUAAAGGGAGAAGCCACAGAGGAAGGAAAUGGAAAUACAUCAACAAAGACUGCACUGUGAGCCUGAGGAAGCCAUCAACAGCAUUCAAAACCUCAUCUGGCCUGGGCCAUAACACAGCCUCUCUAAAAAGUGUCUAAGUGACCCUUUGAACUGAGCCAUUCCACACUGAGAAAAUUUAGAAAUAAAGGGAAACUCAGGAAGCAGCAUUUCGUCUGCUAACAUCAAACCAGCAUUGACUGUCACCUUGAUGCUCAGAGUCUGAGUCUGCAGCUCCCAGGGCGCAGGGUGGAGCUCACUGCAGUCUCCUUUCCCACUGUGCUAGGGGCCGCCCAGCUGCCCUGGGCUUCCCUAGAAAGGAGGGGCGGGACAUUGAACCAAUCUCAGGUUUUCCAAUGGGACAGUAACGGGCUGUAACGGGCACAGUACCCCCAGGACUGGUGGCAGGGGUUGCUGGGACUGCAGGACUCAGUCCCCAAGGAAGGAGGCUCCUGGUCACUAAAACCAAGCCUACUGCUUUCUCAGUGCCAGCUUUCUGCUCUGGAGGAAGAACAAGUGAUGUUUCAAAAGCUCUGUGAGCAGAACAUCUUGAUAUUUGUCUACACUGCAAAGGCCAUAAGGUGGCUCUCCACUUUUCAGAAAGAUAAAUGAAACACAGCCUCUUCUGAUAAAGACAAAUGCAUUUAACAAAGAAUGGUCUAAUUCAGAAAAAGAAAAUCCAUCAGCACUCACAAUCUGUAAAUAGUUGCCUACAGGAUGUGAUUUUAUAUAGACAGAUAAGUGAGGGAGAAAUACUAUAGGCAGUCAGAUAGGGCUGGGCCCUCGAAAGAGUCAGGACAGAUGAGAACACAUUACAACUGUAGCUGGAGGCACAUCAGUUAGAGGCUAGGCCUCAAGAUAAAGACGAAAUGACUAGGCCUACAUACUGCCCCAAG
ensembl:lncRNA